GUCGAGUAUCCGGCGAGUAUUUCCCGAUGUCAAUAGCGUACGUGCGUCCGAGUGACGAGCACCGGAGCCGGUAGCUCGUCGACGAGAUUCAAGUCGGUCGUGUGUGCCCAUUUCGCGCGUUUCUUCGCUUAAGUACCCGUCGUUUUCCUUCAUUUGGAUCGUGCUCCGAUAGAGAGCCGAUCAUCCGGACCUGUUCGCCGCGAGUGUAUAAGGUUAUGUUCACGGUGGUUACGCGCGGAAGUAUCGCGGAAGCCGGUAUGGAGUCUCGUUGAAAGUGAUAUGUCCGUGAUGUCACGAGGCUCGCCCUGGUGCCUCGACGCACCAGGGACGAGAAAAUCCAUGCUUUUUCUAACCAUCGCCAUCCUCUUCGGCUUGUUGUCGCGAGGCGUCGUUGCCGAGAAGAGUAAAAAAUACCAAAUAAGCGACGUGUGCAAGAAGAAUUAUAUGCGAGAUCUCUACAGGAAAAUAGACGGGGCUGUCCUGAUGUCGCAGCUCGAGAAGGAUCUGGACUGUACCAUCACCUUCCAAACGCAUAGUAUCCUUCAGCGGUUCAUGCUACGCUUCGACCAACUGCAAUUGGACUGCAACGAUCACCUCUACAUCUACGAUGGUGCACAUGCGGUCAGCAGUUACAAGGCAGACCUGUCCUGCCAGAACACGAAGCAGUCCGUGGGCGCGAUUUAUACGCGCACGAACUUCGUGACACUGAAAUACGUCACCGACUCGUGGGGCACCAUCUCGAACGGCUUCCGUCUCGUUAUCACCGCCGUCAAGGAUCCAAAGCACACCUGCAAGGACUUCCGAUGCACCCAGAACGAAUUCUGCAUCGAGACGGACCUCCUUUGUGACGGCGUGAAUCAUUGCGGCGAUGGCUCCGAUGAGGCUACCUCCACCCUCUGUGCCAACUCCGAGGCAUCGACGAUCCUGGGCAUGCAGACGAUCUGGUUCGUGGUCGCGCUCGUUUUUCUGAUCCUGAGCGUGGCAGGCCUGGUCACAGUGGCGGUCCUCUGCUUCUGCAGGCAACGCGCCGCAACCCCGAGGCAUCCCCAUAACGCGCACAACGCCCAGACUCAUCCUCCAGUCAGCUUCCCAUUGCAACAGAUGUACGGAUCGAACGGAGCGAGCGCAGGCCUACCGGUGGGCAUGACCACGUUGAAGGGCACCACGGGCACGCUGGGAGCGCUGGGGACCUACGGCUCGGCCCUCGGAUCGGGGGUAACGGGUGCCACGACCCUGCCGCGGCCGGGAAACUGGCUGCGCCCUGCGGGCCUCAGGCACGGGCACAGCGCGGCCCGGGUCCGCCUCUACUGCCAGGCAAAGUGAGGAGCCACGGUUCCGACAGCGACAUCUCCUCCAGCCAAAAAGACGAAUGGUUUGUGUAGAGGCAGGCCUGGACCAGAGCCCGCAGGGUGAACCGGUGCGGUGGUGCCCUCACCGCCCCCUCCCCCCGGGGACGUGACGACGCCAUGCGUCGCAUCGUUCCUAUUCACAUCGGUCGCGUGUUACCGGCGAACAUCUUGGCGUGCCACGCAACUCCCCAACCACCCUUUCACCUCCACCGAACGGAUCGGCGAGCUUCCCGCCUCGAUCAGUCCCGGAUCGGGCCCUACGAAGCCGACCAGCAAGCAGAAAUCACGCGGUGCGUGUACGCGGCUGAAAGUCGCUGCUGCAAAUCGUCGAACGCUGCACGUAGGUCUGAGCGAACACCGAGUUCAUCGAUGGAACUCGCGCCUUCCGACCUGUCUCAUUCUACGUGUUUCGCCGCGCGAUCUUUGAGUCGCUACCGAGUUGAGUGGAAACUCGCUUGGAGAUGGAGACGAACGGGGCGAAUGGCAUCGGCACGAUGCGAGGCGUGGACACGUGAUCCGACGGAUAAUUGGACGAAAAUUUCGUUUCAGCGCGAAUAUACGUUGUACGUGUGCGUGUAGUUAUUGGAGAGGGAAGAAAGUAUGCUGAGAGUGCAAGUACGUCGAGAGUAAGUAUGUUGAGAGUGAGACUAGGAAAGGGGAAAGGAGUCAUCGAUGCACAGCCAGGGAACAACCGGAGAUUCGUUCUCGCGGUACACGUGUGCGUAGUCAUUUGUUCUUUUAUUUAACCGAUCGUUGAGUUUUACGUAAUCUAGUCACGUGAAUAGCCGGCUGUCUCCUCGGUACCGAUUUUAUGAAAACGGUACUCUGGAUACACGUGCAUUCUCUCGUGAGUGGUGGAAAUUUUGCGAUGGGAGCGACGUAUCUGCAAUUGCAGCGAUUAUCGCGAUCUAACACGUAAAUUCGAUGUUUCGUAUUAAAAAUUGAGACACACCCGUUACGUACCGGUUAGCUCCGGGGAUAUCGAAAUUUGCAGAAGAGAAAUAAUUCGUGGGAAAAUCGUCAUUGCAAAAUAGUACGUGUAUCAUAAGAGAAAAUUGAAUGCACGCUCGAGGAGAUUUUUUUAAUUUUUCACGCUCCCAAGCGCAAAGUUUCCGCGCUGCAAUCUCCGCGACAAAAUCCACUGUCAACGUUUGAUCAACGUCGACGCCGGAAAGCGAUAUGGCCCCUGAACCGCGUUUUCCAUCGGCCGCCGUUACUUCGGAUUGACGUCAGCCAUGUGCACGCGGCAAAGGGUGAAUUACAUAGGUAAUAUUGAUCGGGCCGAAAGGCAGAGGAAACGUUUCACGGAAAAUCGUUACCGUGGGACACGCUGAUGUGUGCAUGCGGGUGCAGUACGUGUGUUACGUGUCGCGCGUUAUGUGUGCGUGGUUAAAUUGCGUCGAUGCGUGAGUGUCGCGGGGCGAAAAAUCGCGAGCACAAGCCGCGGCUGAAAUUAUCACAACGGGCCUCGGACACGGAGGGGAAAGAUUGAUAAAAAAUUACGUUCUGCACGCUGGCAUUUCUCUUCGUGUAAAUGAAAAAAGAAAAAGAGAAAAAGUAAGAAAAGAUGAAGAAAUGGUAAAUUGAAAGAAACGAAGAGAAUAGAAAGAAACUGUAGCUAGUGGGAAGAAACGUAAAUGGGUGAAAAUUAAUUAGUCAACUGUGGUUUAUCGUUUGAGAUUCAUUAUUCGUGCGUGUAGUUUUCAUCGUUCUCAGUUUUCCGUCGCAAUCGCGUCGUUGAUUUCACGACAUCUGUCGAUCGAACGACAUUAGUUCCUACAAUGUUUCUUAGCUAGUAGACGAACGAUAGGGUAAGAGCCGAGGCACGCUUUACGAAGAAUGAUUGCGACAAGACUGCUAGCACCUCGCGCGGUGUGAAUUGCACAGGAGUUAUAGUAAACGAUAAAAACAGAUUUACGAGACGCGAAUUGAUAAACGACGCAGAGAGCGGGAACGUGUGAAGGAACGUGGAUUUUUUUUUUUUUUUUAACCGAAUAUUUAAAGAGCUUCUGCAUCGAAACAUUCGGGUUUGAGAGCUUAUAUUGCCAAUUGGAUAUUCUCUAUUUUGAAGUUGACAGAAAAAUAUGACGUAAAUCUUUCUCGGCUUUGCUUUUUUUAACAUCUUCGCUGUUAGAGAAAAUGUUCGAAAUAGUUUCAAUUGAUAAAAAUGUAGCUCCGCUACGUUCUUCGUUAGGAUUCCAAAAAUACAAAGAUUUAUUAUACAAAGAUUUCGAUUAAAUGCUUACUAACGAAAAUAACGGAUUUGGAAAAUUCGCGAGAAAAAAUCAAGAACGAAGUAUUUCAGAAAUUGAAAUUGAAAUUGCCUUCACUUUCUGACUGAGACGAAUGAAACGUACUUCCGAAAUCCAACGAUAUGCGUUCGAUAUACCGACAAGUUGGAAGACCAAUAAUUGGAAAAUCGAUUAUCUUGUAAUUACACGUGAUUUAUGUUAUAGCGCGUAUUAUUGGAUUAAUUGACAGGAAACUGAGGUGACGCGUGUUAAAGAUUUAUUCGGCAUCGGUGUAGCUUCGCUGUACAAAGAGAAAUAUUAGUUCGACGUGCGUGUUUGCUACACGAACUUUGAUAUUGCUGUUACUUUAGUAUGCAGAGUAAAUCUCCGUACAUUUGAAAUGACAAUCGCUGUAGCGCAUAUUUAGCAAUGCUAUCGCUCAGAGUAUACUAAAUGACAAGAACAACGACGUUGUUAUAAACUUUUCCGAUACGUCAGUUAUUCGUAAAUCGGAAUAGACCAACCGUACCAUAGAAAAAUAAUUGAACAUUGGACGAUCACGACGAGAACCAUCCACAAAUACCGACUGAAUCCCUAUUUUAUACUACGAUAACGAUAACAAUUUUCUUGAAUUGCUUAAUUUAUUGCACAAAUGUAAAUUAAUCGCACAAAAUUUUUAUACCAAUCGCAACGACUAACGAGUAAGAAAAAGUAACGAGCGUACCCAGAGGCGACAUAGAAAAAUCAUUCUUGUAGUUGAAACAGAAAAUAAUUUCUAUAGUAUGAUUUCAUUCCAUCAACUUUUCGAACUAUUUUUACACUGUACAAAUCAGAACGGGAUCCUUUCACUGCCUUUUACGGGGACAAUAAAUAAAAUUCGUCGUAAAGUGUGGAACCAGCAUGGGAUGCCUUCUCUAUCGUUUCGUCGUGUGGCUGUUUUAAUUUUACAAUCAACGCGACACGGAGCGAGAUGCAAGCGUGAGAAAUCGUACUCGUAUACAUGUAACAUAUUUGUAUCUAUUAAAUAGCCGUUCAGCUUUGUGCCGUCUCCAUAGAUUACAGAUACAAAAAGCAUAUAUAGUUAUAGAAGUUAUAGUUGCGAGAGAAAGAUGGUAGUCGAAUGAAUGGGAGUGCGAACAAUAGAAAUAUGACGUGUGUACGAAAGAACGAGUAUAUAAAUAAUACAAGAGAGUUUUUAAAUAUCGACAUUAGCACGAAAUCUAUAUCACAAGAAUUAAAGUAAAUCACCGAUCAAUCGGAUUGCCAGCUUAUGUUCGACGCGAUCGACGACACGUCGAUCGAUAAGAAACGAAUUGUAAGUACUUGAAAGGGUAAGAUUCGUCGAUGCUAUCUGUUAAACUGGAAAUUACGAAAAAUGACGAUCAGGAUUAUGUGGAAUUAAUUAUUGUCGAUACGUUUUACUUGGAUUAUUCAAAGAUUCUCGGCUAUUGUUUCGCGUAAAAUAGAAGUUAGCUCGAAAAUUAGUUCGAAAAAGCUUUCUUAUAUCGAAUCAAGAACAUUCAAAGAUAAUAAAACAAAUACUUGAUAUUUUUGUAUUCAAGUUCGAACAUUGCUUGGAACAUUGUGUCGUCGAUGUGAUCUGUCGAGCGGAGAAAAGACUACAUAAAAUUGAAAGAAUUUGAAACGCCACAUAAUCCUGACGUAUAGUAUCGACGAAGAAAGAAAAGAAGAAAAGUAUCCACUUUUUCUCGUAGCCAGACUGAUCCUUCCGGCUCUAAUCUUAGCUACUUUCUCACUUGUACGCUUAACGAGAUGCGCCGAUAUGGUUCAACAGCACGAGACGAUAUCGAUUUGCAGGAAACAAAAGGGGAAAAAAGUGGCGAAGGACGAAAAGGAAGUGCGUGCGGUCGUAAGAGAUGAGAAAUUCCAAAGAGCGAGGGAAAAAACAGAUUGACGAAGAAUGGGGAGAGCGUGGAAUAAAGAAAUGAGAGAAUGAAUGUCGGGCAGAAAGAUGUGAGUGGAUGAAUUCGCAGUCCUUUGCGGCUGAUGGCCGCGAUUAGGCUAAGCGAGUAGGUAAGACGUUCCGAUUAGUUGGAUUCGGACACACGGAAGCUAGCUAAAACUGCCAUGAGGGAAAUGAUGUAGAGAAAUGGACGUAAGUGAAUUUUAGUGAAAAAUCGACCACUGCCUUGAUGCAUUUCUCACUUCGCCGAAAAUGAUACAUCUUCGAUCGAAUUUCCGAUCUAAAUUGGAAUUUCUUUGAAAACGUCAUUUGCAAAUGUAAAUAUAUUUUGAUCUUUUCCAUUAUAUCGUGUUUCGUGCAAACACGAUCUAACGAGUUAGAGAUUAUUUUUCCUUUAAUUAAUUAAGAAAUCUUUAUUUCUAAAAAAAUUGUAGAAAACCAAACUAAAAGAUUGAAAUUUAUAGCACAAUUUUAGGGGGAAACAAUUUUCUGCUUUCAUUACAGUACUAUUUUAAACAUAAUCGUACGGACAGUAGAAAGAAAAUUUUUAUAUUGAUUUUAAAAAUAUUAAUGUUAAAUAUAUAUUUAUAUAUAACUCUUAUUAUAAAUACGUUUAAUUAGGUUGAAUUUAAAAAUGUGUCAGGGUAGUGGUUUAGCUUGCAUGUAUAAAGGGGUAAUUUUGAAUCUGUGCCCCAAACAAAAGAAUGUCUCGAAAUCUUUUCUUGAUUUCUCUUCUCGAAGAAACGAACUCAAUUAACGCGUUAAUCACGUUCUUUGUCGUUUUAUCGUAUAUGAAAUUUUUAAACCAAUUGAAACAGCUCUCUAAUUGAGCUUCAAUGGUUCGGAUGUGUUCGCGUGGUCGAGCUACGUGUGUUUUCGCAAAAAUUUCUAAAACGAAAAUUCACAGCAAAUUUAUACUUUUAUAUUUCGAUAACGGUCUCGAUGUAUCAAUGAAAUAUUCAAUUUGUCGUAAAUCGUGCUGUCAUUUCAAAUCUUCCAGCUAUCGUUCAAAAUUCCUCGAAUCGUUACAACUCAUUAUUAUCUCAUUAUUACUUGGCGAUCGUGAUCGUCGACAUGUUCCGACAACAUUAUUUCCUCUUUAUGCCUGACGAUCACGCACCGCCAGGCUUUGCACAAUUUAAAAGCAAACAACCGCAAGAACAUUUACCACGUGUAAUAUCGCAGGAAAUAAAGGGUUAUUAAAGCACCAAAGCUCUAUUAUUCGUAUAUUUCAAAGCGAUAUCAUCGGCAACAUGAAGGACUAAGGAUUAUCAUAAAUAUAAUUCGACCGCGAAUAAGCGACGGGUAAAUGCUUCUUUCUACAAAGAAAACACGCGUCAAAGCAAUGUAUCUUCCUGUAAAUUGAAAUUCGAAAUUGCGUUAGAGGACUUUUUUAAUGCAAAUAUCGACGAAGAUGGUGAAUAUACUUUCGAAUAUGUUUCGCGAAUGCUGUGAAUUCAAGUUUUAAAGGUUUUUGUAAAAUCCAUCCGAAUAAACUUUCACAUUAGAUUAGAACAAUUUUCUCGCGUAUUCUGCGCUUGCUUUCAUUCGCUAUGCGAUUGCUUUAAUUCUCAGUUGAAUAUAUUGAGUCGUCCCAUAGGUAACAUGGCUUUCUCACCGUUAUGUUCGAAACGAUGAGAAUUGGAAUAGAAAGCUGCAUGGAAAAAGAUAGGGAAUUAUAAAAAAUAAGGGGAAAAUUCAACGCUGAUCGAUUGCCAACAUUUUUUAUUUCCUAAUAAAUUUGAUUUUUGUUUAAUAGUAAUACGAGAACCAACGACCGCAUUAUUUAUGGGAUGACCCAAUGCAUCUGUCAGGGUGUCAUGUUAGGCGAAUGUAUAUACAGUUAUAAUGGUACGUGGGACGUUUCUCGUUUUAUAUUUUUCUAUUGCGUUUCUAUCAUUGUAACAACGUAAAUUAGCAUUUCUUGAAUUCAUUUGGAUACAAGCGAAAUUUCGUUUUUGAAGAAUCCUUUUAACAACUGCCGUAAAAAUCAAUUUGGCAGAAAGACUACGACAUUAAGGAAAUUUAAGAUUAACAAAAUAGAUCCAAAGAUACUACAAAAAUUAAUUUUAUUUUUUAAUAAAAUGAUUUAUACUAUUUAAUACUAUAUAAUGCUAUUAGAGAAAAAAGAAAUGAAAAACUUGUUAGAUGCGCCGAAUGAAUAAAAUGGGCAUUUAAUCGCUUAAAUUGGCGUGUUAUCAGGUUCGUAUUCAUUCGCCUAACGAUACCUGGAUAAAAUCGUAGAAAAGACUGUACGUCUGAAUGAAUAUUGGAUAUUAGUGAAAUUUCUUAACUAUCGAAAGCAAGGGAAACGUUAAAAAUCUUUAGAAUAAAUUGGUUGCUACGAAUCUAGGUGAUUUGUUGUCGUAACGUAACUUCUCUUAGGAUAUUCAAGAAGAUACGAGGUAACCGUAAAAAUGAGCGACGUCGAUUUGUAAAAUCUGUCGAUAGCUCUUAGAGCGAAUCAUUUGAUUGCUUCGAGCGCGAUCCUAGUAAAAAUGCAACAAUACACGCGUUCUUUCAAAACUACAAAUCAAUGUAGUUGUAGAAAAUUAUGGCUCUGAACAAUGAAAUUUCAAAGCAGAGUAUACGCGACGCUAAUAUCGUUCCGUUUAACUAAAUAACAAUUUUAAUUAGAUAAUAUUGGAAAAGAUUGAAACGUCACCAAAAUGGGGUAAUAUUAAGAAUUCGUGGUGAGAAAACAGUGACAACGUUAGCACAUUUGAAAUACGCGCUAUGAACUUAUGGCAUGCGGAGAAAAUCAGAUGAGAACUUAUCGAUAGGACCAAAUGUCACAUUGAUUCGAACUCGAAUCUUUUUAUCAAUCUUCGUAUCCAAACAUAGUAAAUAUUAAUUUCCAUACUUUAAAUUUGUUAGUCGUUGACGUAAAAGGAAGUAUGUACAGAUUAUUUCGAUCGAUUGGAAUCGAGUGGAUGGUGUCCGAAGUUAGUCGGCAAAGGUGGUUUCUGUAAAUUUCGCUUUGUGAAUUGACCAGAAAUCCACGUAACUAUCGUCGGUAACAUAGAAAUUUGUAGGCUAUAUCGUAUUCUGUUCUUCAUUUAUUUAAAAAUAUUGCAUGCUAUAAAAUCGAGCCCUGUCUUUGAGGAGAAUGGAAAUACUCGAUAACGAAGUCAUCGAGACGCUGCACCCGAUUAUCAAUAAAUAACGUUUAAAUUUGUUUUUUAAUACUUAAAAUGAACAUCCGAAAUGCAUCAAGUAAAUUAAAAACGCAUUUUGAGAAACGUGAUGCAUCUAAAAUAAGCAUUGCGAAAAUAUUUUCAAUGCGAUCAAUUCUCAAAAAGCUGCACAAUACAAAAGUGCUGCGAAACUUUUGAUAGAUGUAAUUGUACCAAAAGAAAGAAAUUUUCCUGCAUUUCGUAGAACAAUGCUUGGUGCAAUUAAAUAUCUCUGUGUUACAAUUCUUCGUGUCCCUUUCCGUAGUUUCUCACAGGCGAAAGAACGAUCAUUAAUUAAAAAGAAUGUUUCGUCGCUAUUUUUGCCGUAAAGAAAUAUCGUUCGUCGGAUUGCCGAAUAAAUUGGAAAAUUGUUGUUCAUGAAAGGCAUGUGUGCGUGUUUAAACGAAUGCUGCUAUUAGUGGAGUAAAGGGCGUAUUUUCACGAGUUGGGGUAACGUCUAAUAUUUAUUUCUUUAAGAAAAGAACAAGCGGACAAUAAUAAUCCAUCGUUUACGAGCGAUUAUACUUAUGCAGAAAUCAGCAUCAUCCACUAUUACAAACGUUUCAUUCAAAACAUCAUGAUUAUUGUAACACGAAAACAUUGUCAUUAAAAAAAUUAUCGUAUUCAUUGAUUGUCAUAUGCACUUUGUUCCAAUGAUAUGCAUUUCACAACAUAACAAAUUAGUGCGAACGAUUAUUUGUUAAGAUCGUAUGCCCUUUGAAGAGAAUUUUACAUUUGCGAAAAUGAAAUGCAAUGGCAGACCUGAUCAAUGUAUACCUUCUUAGAUGAACGUUUUACGAUGUAUAAUUCCACAUUUUUCCGAUAUUUUCGCCAUUUAAAUGUAACGGAGAAAAACUAUUUCAUCGUUGAACGUUUACCCUUUUAUCGUAAAAAUUAACACAAACAGACUUCCAGCUGUAUUCGGAGAAGACAAUAUGAAUCAUUUCGACUCUGAAGGAAACUACGGAGUUAUAUACUUAAAGAUAAUGUCAUUCGUAAACUUAUUCUUAUCUAGCCUAGCAUUGUCAUAUCUUCACCAUGAUAAAGCAUUGAUCAUCAUCAGCGUCAUCCUACGCAUAAUGCGAUAUUUUGAACAUUUGUAUUUGUAUGGUUAUUCCAUGUUCGAAGCUCACCGAACGCAAAAUUCGAGAUUAUAACAGUCCCAUGAAUGUUUGUUAUAAACCAAAGAAUUGCUUGUAAUUUGUAGGCCGUCUGUCACGUUUUUCGACUAAAGUGUAUUUACCAUUUAAUUGUAACACGAGCAAACACCAUAUACUGUUAACCGAAAGAAUGUUGUUUCUUAUAUUAGAGCCAUUGGGGCUAGGCAUUGGGCCAAUCUUCGACUCAAGUCAAUGUUUCCCAACCUUUGUCGAGACCGAGACUAUCUUUCAUACUAGAAAUAAAUCGUACAAACAAUGUCUAACCUCACAUCUCGUUAGACCUACACGAGAAGGAAUUUUUAAAUACAACAAGAAACUAAUAUUAAGUUUUGCCAUAAUUUCAAAAUUAGAUAUUAAGUCUGUUCUUUUCAUAUACCAAGAAUCAGUGUUACGAGUAUUAAUAUAAUAUUGCGAUAUAAUUGUAUUGAAACAAAUAAAUGUGAAAAUUUUCAUGAUAAAAUAUUUUAUAAGGACAAACAGGUUGGGAAUCCGGAGCUUAGGCAAACUACGCGUCGCCUAGUGGUGCCCUCUAAAUCUUGACGCCUUCGUUAGUUUCUGUAAUCGAUUCGAUCUGUCAUAUUCGAUGUCUAUCGUAACAGCUGUAAAGGCGACAAAAUACAAUCUCUUCGAGGGCACCAAAACGCCUAUCGUCGGUCCAGCUCGCAUACUUUAACUGUUUCUCAACUAUAUACAUAGUAAUAUGUAUGUUAUUUGUUCGUUGAUGGCUGUUCGUACGAAAAAGAUACAAUAUUCGCGUUUACAGUGCAACAACGUGGAGCAAUGACCUAAUAAUAAGUAACGGGAAACAAUACAAUAAUUUUUCAUACUGUUUUUACUUUUUACUACUAUGAUUACGUACGACUGUAUAAUGUUAUUCUUAUCAUGUAUUAUACGAUAUAUCGAGCUGCAUGCGUAUCAGAUACGCACAUUCUGAGGAACAUCUGAGAAUACACGCGUACCGACGUACAUAUUACGCUCUAUUACGUACUAAAUAGUUUAUAUCUAUAGCCAUUGCAAAGGAUUCGCUACAUUACGACGUAACUAUUAUGCGUGAGAGAUAGGACAUUUCGUCUGUGCAUAUGUAUGUACGAGUAUAUGUGCGUGUGCUGUGUAUCCGCCGGUGUAAAGCUGAAGCAAGGGAAAAGGAAUGAACGAGUCACACGAAAACGAACAACCAAUUUCUCGUGGUAACCUGCGCGCGUAUAAGUAUUCCAAGCGAUUCGCUCGAUGAACGUAGAACGACUGAGAGAAGCGAUAAAACGCAUAUUAUUUCCCGAUUAAACGAGAAACGGCGAUAAUCAUACUCGAUACCGAUUUCCUUUUCUAACCUGGCCCACGGACCGACUUGGAAUCAAAAAAAUCAUCGAUCUUAAAUAACAAACGCGAAAGAUAAAUUUGCCUCGGAGCAGUGUUUCACGUGACGUUUGUUCUAUGCAAGAUGUAAACGUUGAUAAUGAUCGCGAUUUUUGAAUGUCUAUUCCGCUGACAUGCGAUAUAAAAGGUCACUUCCGUGCGAAAGGAUCUCCUAAGACUCGUGUCGCGUCCUACGAUAAAACCAAAGGUCGCCACCCUGUAUCGCGUAACAUGCUUUCAGUGUAAAUCGUUUUAUAGGUUAGGUUUGAAAUCUCCUCUUGGCGUAAAACGAAAAGAGCUCGGACUGACGACUUCUCAUUGUUGCAAUUUGCGCGGGUUUGCAAGGCUCAAGUUGUACAUUAUAAUUGCACCGAGGAGAUUUACGGGUUAAGAGAACAUUAACGAAUUCAAUUGUCUUCUAGAAAUCUUCGGUCGUUGAUUCAAAUCGAUUUACAUAUCUCUCCGAACACUGCGUACAUAUCAAAACGAUAUUUAUCGAAUGUAUCGCGUUCGUACAAAUUAGAAAUAACAUCGUAGCGCCGUGAACACGUCGAAAUAAAAUAACAUGGAAAUAUAGUAUAUCCCGUGAUAUACAAGAGACGCAAAACCUUGUAGAACUGCCAAAACCGGCACGCGACAGUCUUUAAAGUAUCGAACCUUCCAUUUGACAUCGUACGGGUUGAUGUAACUGCCGAACGAAAGCGCCUACGUAUAAACAGGUAAGUCGAACCGAAGAAAUAUAAAGUGCAUAAACGAGGCGCACGAUCAUCAGAUAUUGUACGUAGUUUCUAAGUACGUGCGUGUUGCAACGAUAUCUAAAUGCCAUAUCAAUACCUGUCUGCGCGUAUCACCGUGUAACAGUAAUUAAUUGCAGGUCACCGAACUGCGAUAAGAGUGAUGCGACACUUGCAUUUUCAUAUUAUUUUGUCAAUCACUGAUUACGUAUCCCCCAGAGGUCGAGAGUCGAAUCUUCGUCUCUUGGCUCUUUACUCGGCAAGGAAUGCAAGAGUUCGUUCGUCGCUUUCUCAAAACGUGUGAAUUUUGAUGUAACGUCGUUGUAAUAAAGACAUAAUGGAAAUUGGGGUGGACGCAUCGUAUGUUUAACUUUAAAUGCGAAGCAAUAGAUGGCUCCUUGAUACGCGUGAUUAUGGUCGGAAUUUUGUCGAGGCGAGUCGAUAGCUCAUAGCAAUUAUUGUAUAACGAUAGUAGUACUAUGUGUCAGAUCGAUCACGCGAUCGAGCAGCCAAGGCGAUUGAGAGCGAACUGGGAACUUUGAGCCGCUUGGUAAUUUCAGUGCUAAAAAACAAAAAAAAAAAGCAAAAAAAAUACAAGAAAGAACACUAAUUAUACCCAUAACUAUCCUAUAUACCUAAAACCAAAAAAAAGAUAACCAAAGCAUUGUAACCUUCUAGAGGCAAAGAAGAAAUAGAGAAGUACCUAAUCUUGUAUGGUUUAGUUCGACCACUGAUUUGUCCGUGUGUGUUCGUUAUUGAAAUAUGUUUCUUUAGUAAAAAAAUGCUUAAAAAUCUAAA